rnacentral:misc_RNA from 1 species
GAUGAAGAACGCAGCGAAAUGCGAUACGUAAUGUGAAUUGCAAAUUCAGUGAAUCAUCGAGUCUUUGAACGCACAUUGCGCCCCCUGGUAUUCCGGGGGGCAUGCCUGUCCGAGCGUCAUUGCUGCCCUCAAGCACGGCUUGUGUGUUGGGCCCCGUCCUCCGAUCCCGGGGGACGGGCCCGAAAGGCAGCGGCGGCACCGCGUCCGGUCCUCGAGCAUAUGGGGCUUUGUCACCCGCUCUGUAGGCCCGGCCGGCGCUUGCCGAUCAACCCAAAUUUUUUAUCCAGGUUGACCUCGGAUCAGGUAGGGAUACCCGCUGAACUUAAGCAUAUCAAUAAGCGGAGGA